rnacentral:rRNA from 1 species
UUGCCCUACGGGGCGCAGCAGUCGGGAAUAUUGCGCAAUGGAGGAAACUCUGACGCAGUGACGCCGCGUAUAGGAAGAAGGUUUUCGGAUUGUAAACUAUUGUCGUUAGGGAAGAUAAGAGACUGUACCUAAGGAGGAAGCCCCGGCUAACUAUGUGCCAGCAGCCGCGGUAAUACAUAGGGGGCAAGCGUUAUCCGGAAUUAUUGGGUGUAAAGGGUGCGUAGACGGAGAAACAAGUUGGUUGUGAAAUCCCUCGGUUCAACUGAGGAACUGCAACCAAGACUAUUUCCCUGGAGCGUCGGAGA